ACACCCUUUGUGCCAGACCAUGUAAAAAGAUUGUCCAAAACCAGUGAUGAUAUCAGGACAAGAAAGAAAGCAUAUAAAAGUCCAUCAAAAGAAACUGAUUUCUUUUGUUUGUUCAUUUUCACUAGCUUCGGAGAAAAAUGAAGAAAAAUAAAAACGAAAAACUCAUGCUCCAACAUUCAAUUUUCUACGCACGCCUCACUAGCAUAAAUUGGUUGAAAAUCUUCCUUGCAAUGACUUUCUACUGAUUCAAGAUCUAAUUUCUUGUGCAAAAUUAAUGCAUUAGUGUCCUGCUUAAUUCUGUUAUACCACUAAUAGCGGUUUUCAGUUGAACAAGCUAUCCACUAUUCUCUGCCAUGGCUUCUCAUCAGUUCCUCUGCAGCCACCAGCUCUAUGCCUCCUACAACAGCAAAACCCAGUUCAAUUAUUUCAAGAAAGGCACUUUUCGUCUACCUUCUUCGUUUAAGCCACAUGGGUUAAUCGUUCUUGGACAGAAAAUUGCAACAUUGGAGGACCCGUUUGAUCAGAGCCACGACUGGCAGAAAACAAGUGUGGAGGCGGUGUAUGAUCUUGAGGAUAAACUAAACAAGUUGGCUGAUGAAGUGGAUGAGGAUGCUGGAACGUCAAGGCUUACUCUUUUUUCUCCUUGCAAGGUAAGGAGUAGAUCUUGAGGUGUCUGCCUAUCGAGGACUAGGUCCAAAUACUUCAUUCAAUCGGGUCGGGCCAGUAUGCAAUGUUCUCCUUAUUUGUUGGUAAAAAUACAAAUCACAUUUUGGUUGUAUGAAGAGAAAUUAGAAGUGUGGGAACUACUUAUGAUAGGUUACCUUGUGGUGUUUGAUAUGUGCAUAUUUAUAUAUAUAAAUAGGGUUUACUUUAAGUAUGAUGUUUAGGGGAGAUAUAGCCGUAGUAUCCAUAGAGGGUGCUAUAACGUUGCUACUGAAAGGAGCUCCAAGAAUGGUCUAGUGAGAUUGCUUGGAUGUUCCCUUCUUUUUCUCACAUGGAGCUGCAUAUUGCACAGGUAGACCGUGUGUAAUGACAAUCAUCAUACUUAAUCUCAGGAUGUUUGCAGCAAUGAUCUUAGUAUGAAUUUAACAAGUACUAGCAUGAUGGUAUUAUUGUUUCAGUUAUACUCUAGCUACGCCAGCCUUCAGGUCUAGCAAAGUAAUUAGUAGCUUCACAGAGAAAGACCUCAAAGCUAUGUUUUGACACAGCAUCUCGUCAAUUACAGAAUAUGGAGCAAUAUUUUUCUCUUCUCUCCUGUGCUUGUUCUGCUGUGCAAAGGAGCUAAUGUGUGUUUUAGCUCCUAGUCUUCUAGGUGAAAACAUUGACCUCCCCCAUUUUUGCAAAUUUGGUAGAGAACUUCUUCUAUGUAAACAGCAUUUCACUGUUUCUGGUAUUGGGCAGAGUAUGAAUGAAACUCAGCCUAGUUGGCUAGCCUUACACGUCGACGGUUCUUGAUCACAAUAAUGAGUAUCUUGGUGAAGCUAUUUCAGUUUGAUGUUGGAGAAACUCCUGCUUUUCAAGUCCUUCCGUCACUCAAAAGAGUAAACAGCGAACGCUGCUACAGGUCGCAGACAGUAUGAUGCUGUUUUCACGUCUGGAAGUGGAAGCAGUACCGUCGGGGUGGGUUCUCUAGAUCCCCUCAAUUUGUCUAUAAUGAUGACGUGUACAAGGAUGUCUUCUUUAUCAGAAGCUAGCUUUAUCAUCCGCUCAGCGAAUCAUUGGUACACAGAGCCUCUUUGUACUGACGCUUGUGCCUUGACAAUGGGAUCUUCUCAAUCAUUUGCAUAGUAAAAGUGAAAACAAUGGGAGACACAAAAUUCAUAACAAGCCUAUCUUGAUAUGUUUAUGGGUUUUCGAGUCCAAAGACCAGCACAAUGCUUCAAAAUUGUAGGAAAGAAGGAAGCCUUGCGUAUGUCUAAUGAUUCUGAGACUUGAGGACACAGAGGAUGGCUGCACUCCAUUCGAGUAUCUCUGCAAUGAGUCGCUCUUCAUCUUAACCAGAGGAUCUACAAUGAGAAAUCAUCAUUGAGCGCCUAACCAAGACAUGAAGGUCGUUUCGGUGCACAUAUUACUCCAUCUUGUUUAUUAUGUACUUUGGUAAACACAUUUCUGUUUGGAUUACUGAUCAUGAAUUUCUGUCAUUGUAUGCAACAUGCCAGUCUUGUACGUUUUGUUUAGCACCCCAUGAGACAAACUAAAGUGAAAUGUGUUCUUUUACUACCGUAUAUUUUUUAGAUUUGAUGCAUAAUGUCUAUUGCGAGUUCCCAAUAUCAUUUUGUUAAAGGAUUUUGAGGGGUUUCAGAAAUCCAUAAUAAAAUGGUUCAAUCCUAACACAAGGAACAUUUCCAUGCUUUUCU